GGGAGGAGGAGGAAGGGCAAAGUUGGGAGGAGAGACUACAAGAGAAUUGGGAAAACUGUCAGGAGUUAAAUCUGUCCUACCAGGACUUGGGUGAUCCCUUCCAACAAGAGAAUUUCAUCAGGAUCCUCCGCCGGUUGAUCCGUGUGGAAAAACUACAACUGGUUGACAACUCUCUCACUAACCUGAGUUCUGUACGUCUGCCAAGGUGCAGGAUCCUAAACCUGCACCGUAACCACCUGGUGUGUCUGCGUCAGCUGCCAAAGCUCCCAGCAGUGGAGCAUCUUUGUCUGUCUGAGAACGCCAUUGGCUCCCUGGGGGGACUGGGAGCUCUGGGGAACAGCCCACUGCGCUCCCUGAACCUGACCCGCAACCCAGUGACUUUCACUCAGGACUACC